UAGCGCACAACAUAAUCUUGGUCUCAGGUACGUAUGAUCCUCUCAAUCUACGAUAUGGUGUAAAAGCCAUGAUGCUUCGCUGAGGAGAAAUUCUUCUGUUUCCGAGCGAGGAGUGGUGUUGUCUUCCUUUGUUCCCCUCUUUGGACACAGCUUCACUCGGGAUGCGUGAAUCCAGAUGUCAUGGGAAUCUGUGAGGACAGCGGUUCUGGGUACAGCAAUCACAGUAGCAGGUGGUCCAAAAGGGUAUCCUCCUUUCUUGGUCCUGUUCAACUGACGGAUAUACACCUUGUCACCGGGCUGGUAUGAAUGAGUAGGUUCCUGUGAAGGUAAGGGAAAACUGCGAAGAAACAUUGUCAUACAUACCAUUCGGUUUUAUCAACAAUUCACCUUGUGGGGAUAUAUUCUUAUCUCAGCUAAAAUAGCUGGUAGAUAUCUAGUCCAAUUUACCCAUGUUCCUGGGUAAAUUCUGGGCUUUUCCUUAAUAGUCCUAUUCAUCCUUUCAACUACCCCUGUAUUCUGUGGAUGAUAGGGUAUAUGAAACUGCCAGGUAAUUUGCAAGAAUUUAGCAAGUUCCUGGGCAACCUUACUGGCAAAAACCGGGCCAUUAUCAGAGCCAAUCUGCAGAGGGCAGCAAUACCGGGGAAUAAUUUCAAUAACAAUAAUCUUCACUAGCAUCUUCCCUAGAUGUCACAAAGGCAUCAUGCCAUCUACUAAACUGAUCAACUAUGACCAGUAAGUAUUGCUGUUUCUUACCAAUUUUGGAUACAUG